rnacentral:rRNA from 1 species
UACGUAGGGUGCAGGCGUUAAUCGGAAUUACUGGGCGUAAAGCGCGCGUAGGCGGCUUUGCAAGUCGAGUGUGAAAUCCCCAGGCUUAACCUGGGAACUGCAUUCGAGACUGCAUAGCUAGAGUAUGGGAGAGGGAAGUGGAAUUUCAGGUGUAGCGGUGAAAUGCGUAGAUAUCUGAAGGAACAUCAGUGGCGAAAGCGACUUCCUGGACCAAUACUGACGCUCAUGUGCGAAAGCGUGGGGAGCAAACAGG